CGCACGGUGAGUAACACGUAUCCAACCUGCCGUCUACUCUUGGACAGCCUUCUGAAAGGAAGAUUAAUACAAAAUGGCAUCAUGAGUCCGCAUGUUCACAUGAUUAAAGGUAUUCCGGUAGACGAUGGGGAUGCGUUCCAUUAGAUAGUAGGCGGGGUAACGGCCCACCUAGUCUUCGAUGGAUAGGGGUUCUGAGAGGAAGGUCCCCCACAUUGGAACUGAGACACGGUCCAA
rnacentral:rRNA from 1 species